GUCAUAGUGAUCCGGUGGUUCUGAAUGGAAGGGCCAUCGCUCAACGGAUAAAAGGUACUCCGGGGAUAACAGGCUGAUACCGCCCAAGAGUUCAUAUCGACGGCGGUGUUUGGCACCUCGAUGUCGGCUCAUCACAUCCUGGGGCUGAAGUAGGUCCCAAGGGUAUGGCUGUUCGCCAUUUAAAGUGGUACGCGAGCUGGGUUUAGAACGUCGUGAGACAGUUCGGUCCCUAUCUGCCGUGGGCGCUGGAGAAUUGAGGGGGGCUGCUCCUAGUACGAGAGGACCGGAGUGGACGCAUCACUGGUGUUCGGGUUGUCAUGCCAAUGGCACUGCCCGGUAGCUAAAUGCGGAAGAGAUAAGUGCUGAAAGCAUCUAAGCACGAAACUUGCCCCGAGAUGAGUUCUCCCUGACUCCUUGAGAGUCCUGAAGGAACGUUGAAGACGACGACGUUGAUAGGCCGGGUGUGUAAGCGCAGCGAUGCGUUGAGCUAACCGGUACUAAUGAACCGUGAGGCUUAACCUUACAACGCCGAAG
rnacentral:rRNA from 1 species